rnacentral:misc_RNA from 1 species
UUUCCGUAGGUGAACCUGCGGAAGGAUCAUUAUUGUAUACCCGAGGUGAGAGGGCUGUCGCUGCCACGAAAGGCCGUGCACGCCCGAGUGCCCUCACCCCCACCCAGCUCACCCCUAUGUGCAACACCACGCGGGUCACCCCGUGGCUUGUGCGGAGGGGGGCAUACGUUAUCACACACACCUACGAUGCAGUGGAGAAGGUAUUUUUUGUUUUUGCGAUCAGGACAUCAACACAACUUUCAAAAACGGAUCUCUUGGCUCCCGCCUCGAUGAAGAACG